rnacentral:lncRNA from 1 species
CGAUAUCGACAUCAGCAUCGCCAGUGUCCUUAUCCUCUCCUGCAGACAACAUGGACGUGCAUAGUGAAGAAGACAUACACACCUAUUCUUUGGCUGAAGUUGUUGGGUUCUCGGUGGUGAGCUCAGCUGUGAGCAUUGUGAUGACCGUCGCUAUUGUAAUGCUCAAACGACGAAAAGUACACAGUAACAACAAACUUCCAGCGGCAUUGUAUGUCACGCCAAGACAUGAUGAGAAUGAAGGCUAUGCUACUAUCGACACUAUAUAAGAGUGUGGCCUCAUGGAAGGCAGAUACCCACAAGGCCUCGGCAAAUCUGACGAAUUAUUCUUCUUCUCUUUUAUACAGUCCUUUUUCAUACAGUCACAUAAUAAGAGUGAGCGUGUUUGGUUGCCUGCCACGUUUCAGUUCCAUUACACGUUAGGAAAAGGCUACACAAUGAUCGAUAUACAGUAUUGUCUUUGUAGAUAUCAAAAUGACAAAGGAUAUGUGAUUCGGAGUGAAGAAAGAGUUUACCUGGACUAUUUCGGAUUUAAUUUUUCAUCACUUUUUUAACAAUUGAGGCUGAACAGACAUAACGAAACGAAAUCUAAAUCAUCUAAAAUUGACUCUGAUAUCAAAUUAGUUUUCAGCACCGAUAUGAACUUACAUCACAUGUUUUUUAAGAAAAUGGGUGAAGUAAUGUAGGUUUAAUAUAUACGAAAGAAUGCAGCACUGUA